rnacentral:rRNA from 1 species
UGCCAGACUCCUACGGGAGGCAGCAGUGGGGAAUAUUGCACAAUGGGGGAAACCCUGAUGCAGCAACGCCGCGUGAGUGAGGAAGUAUUUCGGUAUGUAAAGCUCUAUCAGCAGGGAAUAGAAAAGAAGGUACCUGAAAAAGAAGCCCCGGCUAACUACGUGCCAGCAGCCGCGGUAAUACGUAGGGGGCGAGCGUUAUCCGGAUUCACUGGGUGUAAAGGGAGCGUAGACGGCCAAGCAAGCCAGGGGUGAAAGCCCGGGGCCCAACCCCGGGACUGCCCUUGGAACUGCAUGGCUGGAGUGCGGGAGGGGCAGGCGGAAUUCCUGGUGUAGCGGUGAAAUGCGUAGAUAUCAGGAGGAACACCGGCGGCGAAGGCGGCCUGCUGGAUCGCGACUGACGUUGAGGCUCGAAAGCGUGGGGAGCGAACAGGAUUAGAUACCCGAGUAAC